UACGUAGGGUGCGAGCGUUGUCCGGAAUUACUGGGCGUAAAGAGCUCGUAGGUGGGUUUGUCGCGUUUGUUCGUGAAAACCGGGGGCUUAACCUUCGGCGUGCGGGCGAUACGGGCAGACUGGAGUACUGCAGGGGAGACUGGAAUUCCUGGUGUAGCGGUGGAAUGCGCAGAUAUCAGGAGGAACACCGGUGGCGAAGGCGGGUCUCUGGGCCGAUACUGACGCUGAGGAGCGAAAGCGUGGGGAGCGAACAGG
rnacentral:rRNA from 1 species